rnacentral:rRNA from 1 species
UACGAAGGGGGCUAGCGUUGCUCGGAAUCACUGGGCGUAAAGGGUGCGUAGGCGGGCCUUUAAGUCAGGGGUGAAAUCCUGGAGCUCAACUCCAGAACUGCCUUUGAUACUGAGGAUCUUGAGUUCGGGAGAGGUGAGUGGAACUGCGAGUGUAGAGGUGAAAUUCGUAGAUAUUCGCAAGAACACCAGUGGCGAAGGCGGCUCACUGGCCCGAUACUGACGCUGAUGCACGAAAGCGUGGGGAGCAAACAGG